AACGGAUUUUUUCAAAAUCUAUAAAAUAUCAUCGAUAUUGUUCACAAUACUUUGUGAAUAACUUCAACACAAAGUUAAAAAAAUAUUGCCUUGAAAAAGAUGUUGCAUAAAACGUGUACAA